rnacentral:lncRNA from 1 species
UCUAUCGAGUUUCUUGAUAUUCAGUUGGCUAAGUACUUGACUGCUUUUUUCCUGAUGCUGAAGAGCACGUCGGCUGGUACUGUAAAUCAUAUAAAGCUUUAAUUUGCUUAAAUGGGGUUGCCUACAGAGUCUGAUGUGAGACCCAUAUGUGGGGCAUUGUGCUUUUCACAUGACAUGAUCAAUAAGGCUCCGGGCUUAUCACUAGGUGAUUGUCAAGUGUGUUAGACAUGAACACCAACAAGUUAAGGUAUAGAUGAAGUAAGGGAUCAAGGGAGAGAGAUAUGGAGCUCAUUAUGGGUUUAUUGGUCACACAGUAGACAAAUGUUACAAAAAGCAUGGAUAUCCACCAGGCUAUAAAUCAAGAUAAAAAAGUGUGUUCGACAUCAAUCAAGUCAGUUCUCAUGCACUUAAUACAAAUUCAGAAUUCAGAAAUUCAUAGGUGAAGCUCAAUUCUCAGGGUCAAAGUUCAAAGAGUAUGUCUUUCCUUUUUAAUAAUGUUUUGAAAUAGUAUUGAAAGUUUAGAGAUUAAAUUAUAAUAAAAAAUUAUUUAAAUCACAAAGUAUAAAAUUAAUAUCCUAUUUUUUCGUGUAAAAAAAGAAAAAAGAAGAUAUCAAAUCCAACUGUACGUAUAUAUUUAAGAAAAAAAUCUAAUGAAAUUUUCCAGAAGGUUUUCACUUUUUCUAAUACUUAGUAAACUAUUAUUUUUUUUAUUUCAUUAUUUUAAAAAGUCAAAAUACUAUAUUAUCUUACCAUUAUUAGAAAUAAGAAAAGCUCUCCCAGUCAAACAAAUAUCUCCUUAUUUUUCCUUACUUCAAAGAUAGAUUUGAAACGGGGUAGACUGUUAGACAUUAAUAAUUUAUAUUACACUUCAAGAAUAAAAAUUUGAAGUUCAUUGUCUGAGGUUGGUGGGUCAAAUUAAUUCGUAAAUUCUCUUUUGCUUCUCUCACAAUUGACCUUAGCACCCAAACAUGGAAUGUCGAUGGACCAACAGCUGUACAACCAUUCAUUGUCAACUCAUAUUCAUAAAAUAUUCGUUUGAAAACUAAUUUUAUUCCACCCACAAAAGUAAUUACCACUCUUCUAUAUGCCCUUCAGUUUAAGCAUUAUUUACAGUGCUUGCCAAACUUGAAGUUGUGGCUGUGGCUUCUUCCGCUUAUUUGUGAUCGGAAUUAUGAGCCACCAACAACCAGAAGGGGGUUAAUUUACGGUGAACCACAAGAUAAACACAACCCAGAUGAGAAACUGCUCGUUCAUGGCAUCUCUUCUUAGUCCAUCUCUUUCUAUUCCUCUUCAACACAAGGUGAUUUUGUUCUCUUUUCUCUCUCACUGUUCUGCUUUUAUUUGCUUUGGUGAUGAUAUAAUCUUUCUUGUUUUUUUUAAACAAUAUUUCUUGUGGUUUCCUUUUGGUAACCAAUAGAUCAACAAAAUAGGUGGAUUGUUUCUUAAUUUGAGUUCAAUUUUAGUAAUUUCUUUACUCGUUGACUCGGCUGAAUAUAAAAGAUUGUAAACUAAGUAUGCUUUGUAUGACCCCGAUUAUUAUUUUGAAUUGAAAUCUCGGGAUUUUAAGAGUGACAGCCAAGCAGACUAUUAUGACUAGUGUGCUGAUUGGCGUAUCGAGCAAUUUUAAGAUCCUUUUUCUGAAAUGAAACUGAAGAGAGAUUUUGUCUAUCGAGUUUCUUGAUAUUCAGUUGGCUAAGUACUUGACUGCUUUUUUCCUGAUGCUGAAGAGCACGUCGGCUGGUACUGUAAAUCAUAUAAAGCUUUAAUUUGCUUAAAUGGGGUUGCCUACAGAGUCUGAUGUGAGACCCAUAUGUGGGGGCAUUGUGCUUUUCACAUGACAUGAUCAAUAAGGCUUCGGGCUUAUCACUAGGUGAUUGUCAAGUGUGUUAGACAUGAACACCAACAAGUUAAGGUAUAGAUGAAGUAAGGGAUCAAGGGAGAGAGAUAUGGAG